UGGGGAAUUUUCCGCAAUGGGCGAAAGCCUGACGGAGCAACGCCGCGUGAGGGAUGAAGGCCUCUGGGCUGUAAACCUCUUUUCUCAAGGAAGAAGAUCUGACGGUACUUGAGGAAUAAGCCACGGCUAAUUCCGUGCCAGCAGCCGCGGUAAUACGGGAGUGGCAAGCGUUAUCCGGAAUUAUUGGGCGUAAAGCGUCCGCAGGCGGCCUCGUAAGUCUGUCGUUAAAGCGUGGAGCUUAACUCCAUUUCAGCGAUGGAAACUGCGAGGCUAGAGUGUGGUUGGGGCAGAGAGAAUUCCCGGUGUAGCGGUGAAAUGCGUAGAUAUCGGGAAGAACACCAGUGGCGAAGGCGCUCUGCUGGGCCAUAACUGACGCUCAUGGACGAAAGCCAGGGGAGCGAAAGGGAUUAGAUACCCCUGUAGU
rnacentral:rRNA from 1 species